rnacentral:lncRNA from 1 species
AGUGCAAUGUGUGACACAACAGUGCUGAGUGUGACACAACAGUGCUGUGUGUGACACAACAGUGCUGAGUGUGACACAACAGUGCUGUGUGUGACACAACAGUGCAAUGUGUGACACAACAGUGCAAUGUGUGACACAACAGUGCUGAGUGUGACACAACAGUGCAAUGUGUGACACAACAGUGCUGAGUGUGACACAACAGUGCUGAGUGUGACACAACAGUGCAAUGUGUGACACAACAGUGCAA